CCUACGGGAGGCUGCAGUGGGGAAUAUUGCGCAAUGGGCGAAAGCCUGACGCAGCGACGCCGCGUGAGGGAUGAAGGUCUUCGGAUCGUACACCUCUGUCAGCAGGGAAGAACGGUCACUGUGCUAAUCAGCAGUGAAUUGACGGUACCUGCAAAGGAAGCCACGGCUAACUCCGGGCCAGCAGCCGCGGUAAUACGGAGGGUGCGAGCGGUAAUCGGAAUUAUGGGGCGUAAAGCGCUCGUAGGCGGUAUGGCAAGUCAAGGGUGAAAUCCCCGCGCUCAACGUGGGAACUGCCUUUGAAACUGGCAAACUGGAGUAUGUGAGAGGAUAGUGGAAUUCCAGGUGUAGGAGUGAAAUCCGUAGAUAUCUGGAGGAACAUCAGUGGCGAAGGCGACUAUCUGGCACAUAACUGACGCUGAGGAGCGAAAGCGUGGGUAGCAAACAGGAUUAGAUACCCUGGUAGUC
rnacentral:rRNA from 1 species